CCCGCCCUUUUCGGAGCGGGUUCAGCCAAUCGGUGCCAGGAGCGGUUCCGGGCCGCCCAAUGGGCGCAGCGGUCCGCCCGAAGGUCCCGCCCACGGGACCGUCACCUCAGGAGCGGCCUCAGCUCCCCCGCGCUCUCCCCGUGCUGUGAGGCCGGGGGCAUCCGAGCGGCGGCUCCUGUGGUGCCCUCCUGCCAGCAGCAGUGCCAUACGCUUUUGUCUGUGACAAACUUUUUCUAAACCCUAUCAAUGAAAAGUUUCAUGUGUCUAAAAGCACAAAGCUUUAGUCACAGUUUCCGAAAAAGCAUAUGUAUAAAAUUAAAACUAUGCAGUGUCACUGCUUGCCGUCAGUCAGUCCCGACAAACCGUACCAAGGGCAGCGCUCCCGGCCCUUCUCCUGACAACCGGUUUGUGCUGUCACUCGGAACUUCAGGGUUCCGUCCUCGUUUUCCCCUGUCCCGUCGGUGCCCCCCGGGGCAGAACUGCGGCAGCGCCGCCUUCCGGCGCGCCCCACAGCGGGGCGCGGGCACCGCGCAGCUCUGCCUUCCGGGUGACAGCGGCCGCAAGGGUCGUCACGGGCUGGGAAAGCUCUUCAGUUCGGAAGCUGAGGUUAUGUACCUGAGAAGUCCAUGUCAGCAUUCUCAAACAGGACUAGCUGUGCACUGCAGAGAAGAUUGCACACCUGAAAAACCUUCUACUGUCCAUACAUUUGCUGUUCUACAGGCGACCAUCAGGCACAUGCACGACUUAUGGAGCUGUUCAGCAAAUGCUGGGCUUAAAAAACUAGAGCCAGCCAGAGCAGUUUCUGUCCUGAGGAUGCUGAGAAGGAGAAUUCCUAGCAGAGUAACUCUGAGAAACAUGAUUAUCUUCGUUAGGCGGUGCUUCAAACUGAAAACCUAGGUUAAAAAAUUAAACAUAUUUUAUAAUCUCUGUAUCUGAUUGAAUCCCGAUCUAGUGAAGAUAUUUUUCCUGAUUUGAAUGAUGUGCAAUUGUUUCUAAAAACGGGUGUAGGAAAACACAAUUGUUGCAUGCAAAAAGGCAAUAUAUCCUGUCAAAAGAGAUUAUUACUUACUGUGUUUUCUUCUAUAAUUGAGAUGUAAUAGCUGGAGCAGACAGGCUAGCAGAGAGAAAUCACAGAGGAAAACUGAUGAAAGCUUAGAAAUGCUCUGAAACUUUACCAGGCUACUUUUGUCGCUUCACCAAACUGCUGCUCUCUGAAGCACUUUAUAUAGUGAGUGGAGUAUUUGUUCUGUGCUGUGAUAUUUCUGAAAAUGCAGUCUGAUGUGUAUUUAAAUUCCUUGGAAACUUAGUGUGCUUGUGAGAUAACAAAGACAACAAAAACGUGAAAACCGCACACAUCUGUUGCUGCGUUCGUUUCUACGUAUAAUGCAGUUGUGCAGGGAAUUGCGUGUUUCUUCUUUUAUUUUUCUGCUGUGGUGUUAACGUUGUUCCUUCUAAAAACGAGUAGCUGUAAUGGUUUUUUUUUUUUUUGAGAAGGGAAAGUCCCAAGCCUUUUUACUGUUAUCUGGUGCAGUGUAACAGAAAAGAACUGUAUUCCUGGCCUGUAGUAACAGCCAUGUCUCUCAUCUUUGCCCUUAAGUGUGCUUCCUCUCUUCUACAUUCUCUCCUGGGCUCUGUUCUAUCAGAUUUUGUUGUCCUGUUUGUGGAAUGAUCCAAAUAUUGAAAGAAAAUCAUUUCUGAAACAUGUCCAUGGUAUCAGCUGACUUGGUAGCGCCGAGAAAACUGGUAACUGUGGUAGAGCAGCUGAGAACGAACGGAGGCAAUGGGCAGAAGCCCCACUGCAACAAAGCUGGAUUAAGUUCUUGUAUGGUUAGAGCUCCGUCUUGACUUUUGUCUGAGAGCCUGCUGACAGAGAACACCAAGUGGCACAAAGAUAGUAGGCAAUGAUGAACCACUAGAGAGCUUCUGGCUCCUAACAGAAGCCCCUUGCAUUUUUGUGGUACACUGUGGAUUCUGACCCCAGAAUCAGCCGUUCCUGGGGUCCCAACACAACAGGCUAAACUGGACCUUCCUGCUAAGUAGUACUGAAUCUUUAAGUGUUGAAACUCAUAAAAUUUAAGGGUAACUUUUAACCUCCCCAAUCAUGGAACCUAACGCCCCCAUGUGAAAACACUUUUCUGAGUACUUAGAGUUAGUGCCCUUUUUCCUUAGAAUGAAGGAUACUGAAACUCAACUAAGAGUCACACUUCGAUUUUGAGUUUCAUUGGAAGGAAUGCGGUUAUUUCAGGACUGUAUCAUCUCCACAGCUAUUAAAGCCAAGGGAAAGCCCUCCAAGAGCAUCAGAUACUGUGUUAUCACAGACUUAAAAAUGGGUAAGGUACUGGGAAUAUAAGGCAGCCUUUUCAGUUUUCCAGUUACGAUUAUCUUAGUAGAAAUGGAAAAUAAAAGAACAUACCAUGUAAUAACUGUGUAAUCUCAGAUGGAACUCUUUGAAUGCAAUGUUAAGUUUUAGAUGACUUGAUUUUUUUUUUUUUGGUUAAGGCUACAAUGCUUUUAAACAAGAAAAGGAAUAUUGUGUACAUCAGUGGGUGUACACAGAAAGAUAAUUUCUGUGUUGCUGUGAGAGAAAAUAGGAUGUUAGUGCACAGAGCUACCAAAAUAAGGUUUG